rnacentral:rRNA from 1 species
UACGGAGGAUCCAAGCGUUAUCCGGAUUUAUUGGGUUUAAAGGGUGAGUAGGUGGCCUGUUAAGUCAGGGGUGAAAGACGGUAGCUUAACUAUCGCAGUGCCCUUGAUACUGAUGGGCUUGAAUGAACUAGAGGUAGGCGGAAUGUGACAAGUAGCGGUGAAAUGCAUAGAUAUGUCACAGAACACCAAUUGCGAAGGCAGCUUACUAUGGUUUUAUUGACACUGAGGCACGAAAGCGUGGGGAUCAAACAGG